UAGUAUGUUUGUCGGGGAACCAAGCUGCUUACUACUUUGUCCCUGGGACAGACGAAGGUGCAAAUAAUUGGCUAGUUUAUCUUCCGGGAGGAGGAUGGUGUUCGACCCCCCAAGAUUGCCAGAAUUAUAUUUCAAGGUUCCACAUAAAUGAACCAGCCAAGCCAACACAAUUUAACGGUAUACUCAGCAAUGAUUGUGAACUUAACCCCGGUACUAUAUAUACUUUCCAACUUAUUUAUUU